GACGUAGGGCGCGAGCGUUGUCCGGAUUUAUUGGGCGUAAAGAGCUCGUAGGCGGCUUGUUGCGUCAGCUGUGAAAACCCGCAGCUCAACUGUGGGCUUGCAGCUGAUACGGGCAGGCUUGAGUUCGGCAGGGGAGACUGGAAUUCCUGGUGUAGCGGUGAAAUGCGCAGAUAUCAGGAGGAACACCGGUGGCGAAGGCGGGUCUCUGGGCCGAUACUGACGCUGAGGAGCGAAAGCGUGGGGAGCAAACAGG
rnacentral:rRNA from 1 species